CCUACGGGUGGCAGCAGUGGGGAAUAUUGGUCAAUGAGCGCGAGCCUGAACCAGCCACGUAGCGUGAAGGAUGACUGCCCUACGGGUUGUAAACUUCGUUUAUAAAGGAGUAAAGUUAGGCACGUAUGCCUUUUUGUAUGUACUUUAUGAAUAAGGAUCGGCUAACUCCGUGCCAGCAGCCGCGGUACUACGGAGGAUCCGAGCGUUAUCGGGAGUUAUUGGGUUUAGAGGGAGCGUAGAUGGGUUGUUAAGUCAGGUGUGAAAGUCUGCGGCUUAACCGUAAAAUUGCAAUUGAUACUAGCAGCCUUGAGUACAGUAGAGGUAGGCGGAAU
rnacentral:rRNA from 1 species